CCCUUUGGACUUUAGCCGAGGAAGACCGGGCUCCCAAGAGUCUCCCAGGAGUCGGGGCCUUGGGCAGGCUCACAAGGAUGCUGACGGUGAUGGUUGGUGACGGCGAUCUUCAGCCGGUCCCUCCGUCUGGGGUCCCUGACUUCCCGCAACACAGAAGGGCGGAUCACUUGAGGUCAGGAGUUCGAUACCAGCGUGGCCAACAUGGAGAAACCCCGUCUCUACUAAAAAUAGAAAAAUUAGCCGGCUGUCGUGGUGCGCGCCUGUAAUCCCAGCUACCGAAGAAGAAUCACUGGAACCCGGGAAGCAGAGGUUUCAGUGAGCCGAGAGAGCGCCACUGCACCGCAGCCUGGGUGACAGAGCGAAAGAGACUCAGUCCAAAAAAAAGAAAAGAAGAAGAAAAAAAGAA